GGGGGUUUAGCUCAGUGGUAGAGCACUUGCCUAGUAAGCACAAGGUCCUGAAUUCAAUCCUCAGCUCCG
rnacentral:tRNA from 1 species